rnacentral:tRNA from 1 species
GGAGAGAUGGCUCAGUGGGUAAGAGCACUGACUGUUCUUCCAGAGGUCCUGAGUUCAAUUCCCAGCAACCACA